CUAAUGCCAAAGACAUCCAUGCUUUGUAUUUUAACUUUGUAAUAACUAUAAAGUCAAUGUUAAUGUUUGCAAAAUACAUAUGUCCAUAAAUAAGAAAGCAUUUUUCAAAACUCUGCAGAACCUCUAAGUUUUACUUCUAACAGUUUAUAUACUAAUUAAUUAAAGAAACAUACUUUUUAAAAUUAAAAUAGUAAGAGGACCUAUAGAUGAAAGAGAGAAUGAACCCAUGGAGAUGUUGCCUCAUAUAAUAUGGUCAUUUUCACAGUCAACCUGACCAAAGAAGACAGCUUGGUUUUCAUUUCAAACAUGCAAGCAUACAUAGACAGAGGCAGAGGUACCAAAUCAAAUUAAACCAAUAACAAUAAUAAUUUUGAAUAUAAACAAAUCAGGCUUUUAGACAUUUUGUUCUUUAGAACCAGAUUCCUACCCACUGUAUUAAAUUCUGCUUGUAAGUCUUACUAUGUGCAAUGUUCUAGGCACUGGUAGAUAAUGAGGAUA
rnacentral:lncRNA from 1 species